UUAAAUGAAUUGACGGGACCCGCACAAGCGGUGGAUGAUGUGGUUUAAUUCGAUGCAACGCGAAAACCUUACCCACCUUUGACAUGGCAGGAAUCCCGAAGAGAUUUGGGAGUGCUCGAAAGAGAACCUGCACACAGGUGCUGCAUGGCUGUCGUCAGCUCGUGUCGUGAGAUGUUGGGUUAAGUCCCGCAACGAGCGCAACCCUUGCCAUUAGUUGCUACGAAAGGGCACUCUAAUGGGACUGCCGGUGACAAACCGGAGGAAGGUGGGGAUGACGUCAAGUCCUCAUGGCCCUUAUAGGUGGGGCUACACACGUCAUACAAUGGCCGGUACAGAGGGUAGCCAACCCGCGAGGGGGAGCCAAUCCCACAAAGCCGGUCGUAGUCCGGAUCGCAGUCUGCAACUCGACUGCGUGAAGUCGGAAUCGCUAGUAAUCGCGGAUCAGCAUGUCGCGGUGAAUACGUUCCCGGGUCUU
rnacentral:rRNA from 1 species